rnacentral:rRNA from 1 species
GACACGUGGUAUCCUGUCUGAAUAUGGGGGGACCAUCCUCCAAGGCUAAAUACUCCUGACUGACCGAUAGUGAACCAGUACCGUGAGGGAAAGGCGAAAAGAACCCCGGCGAGGGGAGUGAAAAAGAACCUGAAACCGUGUACGUACAAGCAGUGGGAGCCCCACCACUAAGCCAGUGGUGAACUCCACAUACGCAUCCUUUGCUGAGGAUACGGUUAACGGAGCGAAAGCGACGUUCAACCGCAAAAGAAGCAGAGGGGGCUUAGUGGUGGGGUGACUGCGUACCUUUUGUAUAAUGGGUCAGCGACUUAUAUUCUGUAGCAAGGUUAACCGAAUAGGGGAGCCGGAGGGAAACCGAGUCUUAACCGGGCGUUAAGUUGCAGGGUAUAGACCCGAAACCCGGUGAUCUAGCCAUGGGCAGGUU